rnacentral:rRNA from 1 species
GAUGAACGCUGGCGGCGUGCCUAAUACAUGCAAGUCGAGCGAACGGACGAGAAGCUUGCUUUUCUGAUGUUAGCGGCGGACGGGUGAGUAACACGUGGAUAACCUACCUAUAAGACUGGGAUAACUUCGGGAAACCGGAGCUAAUACCGUAUAAUCUUUUGAACCGCAUGGUUCAAAAGUGAAAGACGGCCUUGCUGUCACUUAUAGAUGGAUCCGCGCUGCAUUAGCUAGUUGGUAAGGUAACGGCUUACCAAGGCAACGAUGCAUAGCCGACCUGAGAGGGUGAUCGGCCACACUGGAACUGAGACGCGGUCCAGACUCCUGCGGGAGGCAGCAGUAGGGAAUCUUCCGCAAAGGGCGAAAGCCUGACGGAGCAACGCCGCGUGAGUGAUGAAGGUCUUCGGAUCGUAAAACUCUGUUAUUAGGGAAGAACAUAUGUGUAAGUAGCUGUGCACAUCGUGACGGUACCUAAUCAGAAAGCCACGGCUAACUACGUG